UGUAUAAUGGGUCAGCGACUUAUAUUCUGUAGCAAGGUUAACCGUAUAGGGGAGCCGAAGGGAAACCGAGUCUUAACUGGGCGUUAAGUUGCAGGGUAUAGACCCGAAACCCGGUGAUCUAGCCAUGGGCAGGUUGAAGGUUGGGUAACACUAACUGGAGGACCGAACCGACUAAUGUUGAAAAAUUAGCGGAUGACUUGUGGCUGGGGGUGAAAGGCCAAUCAAACCGGGAGAUAGCUGGUUCUCCCCGAAAGCUAUUUAGGUAGCGCCUCGUGAACUCAUCUUCGGGGGUAGAGCACUGUUUCGGCUAGGGGGCCAUCCCGGCUUACCAACCCGAUGCAAACUACGAAUACCGAAGAAUGUUAUCACGGGAGACACACGGCGGGUGCUAACGUCCGUCGUGAAGAGGGAAACAACCCAGACCGCCAGCUAAGGUCCCAAAGUCAUGGUUAAGUGGGAAACGAUGUGGGAAGGCACAGACAGCCAGGAUGUUGGCUUAGAAGCAGCCAUCAUUUAAAGAAAGCGUAAUAGCUCACUGGUCGAGUCGGCCUGCGCGGAAGAUGUAACGGGGCUAAACCAUGCACCGAAGCUGCGGCAGCGACGCUUAUGCGUUGUUGGGUAGGGGAGCG
rnacentral:rRNA from 1 species